UCCGCCCGAGAACUACGAGCACAAACGCUUAAAACUCUAAGGACUUGGCGGUGCCCCAAACCCACCUAGAGGAGCCUGUUCUAUAAUCGAUAACCCACGCUACACCCCACCACUCCUUGCCCCAACAGCCUACAUACCGCCGUCUCCAGCUCACCUCUUCUGAGAGCUUAAUAGUGAGCCCAAUAGCCCCUCCCACUAAAAAGACAGGUCAAGGUAUAGCUUAUGGAGUGGCAGAAAUGGGCUACAUUUUCUAGAAUAGAGAAUCAAUUACGAAAAGGGGUGUGAAAUAACCCCUGGAAGGCGGAUUUAGCAGUAA
rnacentral:rRNA from 1 species